rnacentral:rRNA from 1 species
AUUGAACGCUGGCGGCAGGCCUAACACAUGCAAGUCGAGCGGAUGAAGGGAGCUUGCUCCUGGAUUCAGCGGCGGACGGGUGAGUAAUGCCUAGGAAUCUGCCUGGUAGUGGGGGAUAACGUCCGGAAACGGGCGCUAUACCGCAUACGUCCUGAGGGAGAAAGUGGGGGAUCUUCGGACCUCACGCUAUCAGAUGAGCUUAGGUCGGAUUAGCUAGUUGGUGGGGUAAAGGCCUACCAAGGCGACGAUCCGUAACUGGUCUGAGAGGAUGAUCAGUCACACUGGAACUGAGACACGGUCCAGACUCCUACGGGAGGCAGCAGUGGGGAAUAUUGGACAAUGGGCGAAAGCCUGAUCCAGCCAUGCCGCGUGUGUGAAGAAGGUCUUCGGAUUGUAAAGCACUUUAAGUUGGGAGGAAGGGCAGUAAGUUAAUACCUUGCUGUUUUGACGUUACCAACAGAAUAAGCACCGGCUAACUUCGUG